AAUGAACGCUGGCGGCAGGCCUAACACAUGCAAGUCGAACGGAUCCUUCGGGACUAGUGGCGGACGGGUGAGUAACGCGUGGGAACAUACCCUUUGGUACGGAAUAGCCUCGGGAAACUGGGAGUAAUACCGUAUGUGGUCGAGAGACGAAAGAUUUAUCGCCAAAGGAUUGGCCCGCGUUGGAUUAGGUAGUUGGUGGGGUAAUGGCCUACCAAGCCGACGAUCCAUAGCUGGUUUGAGAGGAUGACCAGCCACACUGGGACUGAGACACGGCCCAGACUCCUACGGGAGGCAGCAGUGGGGAAUCUUAGACAAUGGGGGAAACCCUGAUCUAGCCAUGCCGCGUGAUCGAUGAAGGCCUUAGGGUUGUAAAGAUCUUUCAGGUGGGAAGAUAAUGACUGUACCACCAGAAGAAGCCCCGGCUAACUCCGUGCCAGCAGCCGCGGUAA
rnacentral:rRNA from 1 species